rnacentral:rRNA from 1 species
UACAGAGGUCCCAAGCGUUGUUCGGAUUCACUGGGCGUAAAGGGUGCGUAGGUGGUGAGGAAAGUCGGAUGUGAAAUCUCCGGGCUUAGCCCGGAAAUGGCAUUGGAAACUACCUUGCUAGAGGUUUUGAGGGGGGACUGGAAUUCUCGGUGUAGCAGUGAAAUGCGUAGAUAUGUGGAGGAACACCAGUGGCGAAGGCGACUCUCUGGGCUGUAACUGACGCUGAGGCGCGAAAGCGUGGGGAGCAAACAGG